AUGGGGAGCCUACUCCCGCUGGCGCUGCUCGUCGUCCUCUCCGCCGCCGCGGCCGCCCCCCAGCUCGUCGGUGCAGCAAGGAGAGACCAUUCCCUAGGAAUCAUCCAGAAAGAUAUCAUACAAACGGUCAACAACCACCCCAACGCCGGAUGGACGGCUGGACACAACCCCUACCUCGCGAAUUACACUAUUGAGCAAUUUAAGCAUAUGCUGGGAGUGAAGCCAACGCCUCCAGGUUUACGGGCUGCUGUUCGCACCAAAACUCAUUCAAGAUCGGAGCAGCUCCCAAAGGUGUUCGACGCCAGGUCGAAAUGGUCCGGUUGCAGCACAAUUGGGAAAAUACUUGAUCAAGGUCACUGUGGUUCCUGCUGGGCUUUUGGUGCCGUGGAGUGCCUGCAAGAUCGUUUCUGCAUCCAUCACAACAUGAACAUUACACUUUCUGCCAAUGACCUAGUGGCUUGCUGUGGGUUUAUGUGUGGCGAUGGUUGUGAUGGAGGAUAUCCUAUCAGUGCGUGGCAAUACUUCGUCCAGAAUGGUGUUGUUACUGACGAGUGCGAUCCAUACUUUGAUCAGGUUGGCUGCAAGCAUCCUGGAUGUGAACCUGCUUAUCCUACACCUGUGUGUGAAAAGAAAUGCAAGGUGCAGAACCAAGUUUGGGAGGAAAAGAAACAUUUCAGCAUCAAUGCAUACCAAGUAAACUCUGAUCCACAUGACAUCAUGGCAGAGGUCUACAAUAAUGGCCCUGUAGAAGUUGCUUUCACAGUUUAUGAGGACUUCGCACACUACAAGUCAGGAGUGUACAAGCACAUCACCGGUGGAGUCAUGGGAGGUCACGCCGUCAAGUUGAUUGGUUGGGGAACUAGUGAUGCUGGCGAGGAUUACUGGCUUCUUGCAAAUCAGUGGAACAGAGGCUGGGGCGAUGACGGGUACUUCAAGAUCAUAAGGGGCAAGAAUGAAUGUGGCAUCGAAGAAGAUGUUACUGCCGGUAUGCCCUCGACAAAGAACAUCGCCGGUAGCGCCUUCGCAAUUUAA
rnacentral:rRNA from 1 species